GGGGCAGAAGGAAUUCCUGGUGUAGCGGUGAAAUGCGUAGAUAUCAGGAAGAACACCGGUGGCGAAAGCGUUCUGCUAGUCCGAGACUGACACUGAGGGACGAAAGCUAGGGGAGCGAAUGGGAUUAGAUACCCCAGUAGUCCUAGCCGUAAACGAUGGAUACUAGGCGUGGCUUGUAUCGACCCGAGCCGUGCCGGAGCUAACGCGUUAAGUAUCCCGCCUGGGGAGUACGCACGCAAGUGUGAAACUCAAAGGAAUUGACGGGGGCCCGCACAAGCGGUGGAGUAUGUGGUUUAAUUCGAUGCAACGCGAAGAACCUUACCAAGACUUGACAUCCUGCGAAUCCUGCUGAAAGGUGGGAGUGCCUUCGGGAGCGCAGAGACAGGUGGUGCAUGGCUGUCGUCAGCUCGUGUCGUGAGAUGUUGGGUUAAGUCCCGCAACGAGCGCAACCCUCGUUUUUAGUUGCCAGCAUUAAGAUGGGCACUCUAGAGAGACUGCCGGUGACAAACCGGAGGAAGGUGGGGGAUGACGUCAAGUCAGCAUGCCCCUUACGUCUUGGGCUACACACGUACUACAAUGCUACGGACAAAGGGCAGCAAGCUAGCGAUAGCAAGCAAAUCUCAGAAACCGUAGCUCAGUUCAGAUCGAAGGCUGCAACUCGCCUUCGUGAAGGAGGAAUCGCUAGUAAUUGCAGGUC
rnacentral:rRNA from 1 species